AUUAAAUGGCCGCAGUAUAUUAACUGUGCAAAGGUAGCAUAAUCAUUAGUCUUUUAAUUGAAGGCUGGAAUGAAUGGUUGGACGAAAUAUUAACUGUUUCAUAAUAAUUUAUAAUAAAAUUUUAUUUUUUAGUAAAAAAGCUAAAAUUUAAUUAAAAGACGAGAAGACCCUAUAAAUCUUUAUAUUUAUAUUAUUUUUAUUUUAUUGAAUUUUUAUAUAAUAAUAAUUUAAAAUAUUUUAUUGGGGUGAUAUUAAAAUUUAAUUAACUUUUAAUUUAUAAAAUCAUUAAUUUAUGAAUUUUUGAUCCAUUAAUAAUGAUUAAAAGAUUAAGUUACUUUAGGGAUAACAGCGUAAUUUUUUUGAAGAGUUCAUAUUGAUAAAAAAGAUUGCGACCUCGAUGUUGGAUUAAGAUAUAAUUUUAGGUGUAGUCGCUUAAAUUUUAAGUCUGUUCGACUUUUAAUUUCUUAC
rnacentral:rRNA from 1 species